rnacentral:misc_RNA from 1 species
AAAGUCGUAACAAGGUUUCCGUAGGUGAACCUGCGGAAGGAUCAUUAACAAAUUCUAUUCCAACCUUUACACCGUGAAUCGCCUUGACCCAAAGGUGCAAGCAGUCUUGAGCUGUGUAGUGCCCGCUAAGUCUUGGUCAAAAUACUUUGAAGGAGUGAGUGACCGUUAGCUUGGCUUUGGUCUUGCGCGGCGCGAAUUUUAAUUUACAACUUUUAACAAUGGAUCUCUUGGCUCUC